UACGGAGGAUCCAAGCGUUGUCCGGAUUUAUUGGGUUUAAAGGGUGCGUAGGCGGAUUUUUAAGUCAGUGGUGAAAGCCUGCAGCUCAACUGUAGAAUUGCCAUUGAAACUGAAAAUCUUGAAUUUGGUUAAAGUAGGCGGAAUGUAUCAUGUAGCGGUGAAAUGCUUAGAUAUGAUACAGAACACCGAUAGCGAAGGCAGCUUGCUGAACCAAUAUUGACGCUGAGGCACGAAAGCGUGGGGAGCAAACAGG
rnacentral:rRNA from 1 species